UGCCAGCAGCCGCGGUAACACGGGGGGCGCAAGCGUUAUUCGGAAUUAUUGGGUUUAAAGGGUGCGCAGGCGGAACUUUAAGUCAGUGGUGAAAUCUUGCCGCUUAACGGUAAAAUUGCCAUUGAAACUGAAGUUCUUGAAUGUAGUUGAGGUAGGCGGAAUGUGUUGUGUAGCGGUGAAAUGCAUAGAUAUGACACAGAACGCCAAUUGCGAAGGCAGCUUACUAAGCUACGAUUGACGCUGAGGCACGAAAGCGUGGGGAGCGAACAGGAUUAGAUA
rnacentral:rRNA from 1 species